GCUACACAGCGAUGUGAUGCUAAUCUCCAAACCAUGUCUCAGUUCGGAUCGGAGUCUGCAACUCGACUCCGUGAAGCUGGAUUCGCUAGUAAUCGCUCAUCAGCCAUGGCGCGGUGAAUACGUUCCCGGGCCUUGUACACACCGCCCGUCAAGCCAUGGGAGCCGGGGGUACCUGAAGUCCGUAACCGCGAGGAUCGGCCUAGGGUAAAACUGGUGACUGGGGCUAAGUCGUAACAAGGUAAC
rnacentral:rRNA from 1 species